GAGCGGCGAACGGGUGAGUAACACAUCGGAACGUAUCCAUAAGUGGGGGAUAGCCCGGCGAAAGCCGGAUUAAUACCGCAUACGAUUGUGGAUGAAAGCAGGGGAUCGCAAGACCUUGCGCUUUAGGAGCGGCCGAUGUCCGAUUAGCUAGUUGGUGGGGUAAAGGCCUACCAAGGCGACGAUCGGUAGCUGGUCUGAGAGGACGACCAGCCACACUGGGACUGAGACACGGCCCAGACUCCUACGGGAGGCAGCAGUGGGGAAUUUUGGACAAUGGGGGCAACCCUGAUCCAGCCAUGCCGCGUGCGGGAAGAAGGCCUUCGGGUUGUAAACCGCUUUUGGUCGGAAAGAAAGGCCCCGGGAUAAUACCUUGGGGUUUUGACGGUACCGGCAGAAUAAGCACCGGCUAACUACGUGCCAGCAGCCGCGGUAAUACGUAGGGUGCGAGCGUUAAUCGGAAUUACUGGGCGUAAAGCGUGCGCAGGCGGUUUGUUAAGUCCAUUGUGAAAGCCCCGGGCUCAACCUGGGAAUGGCGGUGGAAACUGGCGAGCUAGAGUGUGUCAGAGGGGGGUGGAAUUCCACGUGUAGCAGUGAAAUGCGUAGAGAUGUGGAGGAACACCAAUGGCGAAGGCAGCCCCCUGGGAUAACAC
rnacentral:rRNA from 1 species